AGCGAACGCUGGCGGCAGGCUUAACACAUGCAAGUCGAGCGGGUGUAGCAAUACAUCAGCGGCAGACGGGUGAGUAACGCGUGGGAACGUACCUUUUGGUUCGGAACAACACAGGGAGACUUGUGCUAAUACCGGAUAAGCCAUUACGGGGAAAGAUUUAUCGCCGAAAGAUCGGCCCGCGUCUGAUUAGCUAGUUGGUAGGGUAACGGCCUACCAAGGCGACGAUCAGUAGCUGGUCUGAGAGGAUGAUCAGCCACAUUGGGACUGAGACACGGCCCAAACUCCUACGGGAGGCAGCAGUGGGGAAUAUUGGACAAUGGGGGCAACCCUGAUCCAGCCAUGCCGCGUGAGUGAUGAAGGCCCUAGGGUUGUAAAGCUCUUUUGUGCGGGAAGAUAAUGACGGUACCGCAAGAAUAAGCCCCGGCUAACUUCGUGCCAGCCGCCGCGGUAACAC
rnacentral:rRNA from 1 species